GUACUCACUUCCACAGCAUAUAUGCUAAAAUCAGAGUGAUGCGAGAAGGCUAGCAUAAUCCUUGAAAAGGAUGGCAUGCAAAUUCAUGAGACAUUUCCUUAUUUU
rnacentral:snRNA from 1 species